rnacentral:rRNA from 1 species
CCUACGGGAGGCAGCAGUGAGGAAUAUUGGUCAAUGGACGAAAGUCUGAACCAGCCAUGCCGCGUGCAGGAAGACGGCUCUAUGAGUUGUAAACUGCUUUUGUACGAGGGUAAACGCAGAUACGUGUACCUCUCUGAGUGUAUCGUACGAAUAAGGAUCGGCUAACUCCGUGCCAGCAGCCGCGGUAAUACGGAGGAUUCAAGCGUUAUCCGGAUUUAUUGGGUUUAAAGGGUGCGUAGGCGGUCGGAUAAGUUAGAGGUGAAAUCCCGAGGCUCAACUUCGGAAUUGCCUCUGAUACUGUUCGGCUAGAGAGUAGGUGAGGUAGGCGGAAUGUAUGGUGUAGCGGUGAAAUGCUUAGAGAUCAUACAGAACACCGAUUGCGAAGGCAGCUUACCAGGCUACAUCUGACGUUGAGGCACGAAAGCGUGGGGAGCAAACAGGAUUAGAUACCCCUGUAGUC